AAUAAAAUAGUUUAUAAUAAAACAUUAUUAUGCAAUAAUAAAAAAUAAAUUUAUUU
rnacentral:tRNA from 1 species